rnacentral:lncRNA from 1 species
CCAGACCUUAUUUUCUUCGUGUGCGAAUGAGGAAGUAAUGCUAUCCUCACUUGUGUUUAGGACUCGAAGCCCUGGUGUGAAUAGUGCGUCUAGCACACCUGACCUAUAGGAAGAGUUCCCUACUGGAAGAAACGAACACACACAAGGUGCUAGACCACCACCUAAAGAGCCGUUGCCUGGGUUUAGCUCUGAUAAAAAUAGGAUCCACCCACUGUCCAAAGCCCCUGACUACGUGCAAGAGGAGAGGAGCGAAACCCACUUGGCUUCCUGUGAGCCAUGCCUAGACUGAUUCCUAACCAAGAGAGCAAGCGUCAGGAAUGGCUUGGGGCAGGUAAAUUCAGAGAGGCCUCAACAGGGACAGGAGUAGGUACCUAAUUGCACUGGGUCUCCCAUUGAGGGCAGUCUUCCCAGGCAGCUCCAGAAACCCCACAACUAGGAAGUUCUCUAAUUUUGCUUCCUGAACCCCAACACUCCAGAUCUCACUCUCUCUAGGUUUCUCUCCCUCUUCCCCCAGGACAUGUGGACAGAGGCAUAGCCUGAGUUCCUUCUCCAUCCAUUUUCAAGGUAUAGGGGGUGCAAUGGUUCAAUUUAAAAAUCUGUGUGUCACAAAAGUAGUCAUCCAAGUAUCAUUGCCAAGUGCAAGGUACCUGUAAGAGUAGUUAUAUUAGGAGGACUCUGCUACUGUGGGAUCCUGGGGAUAGGUUAGUGACUGCAAGUGGUGUCCCAAUGAUAGAACAUGUUUGGCCCCUUCUUUUAGCCCUUUUGCAUUUGGCAUUUGGCCACUGGCUGGCACAGUACAGAAGCCCUCC